ensembl:lncRNA
GUAUAAUGCAUAAACGUUAGAUUGGUUGGAUUGGUGCAAAUGUCUCUCUUUUUUAUUAUUAGCUUGAUAUCAAACAGUUAUAUGUCACUUUUUUUUAUCAAGGUGUUUCGAAUUUAAUUUUCAUCAUUUGUUUCCUUAACCUGCAAAAGCAAUAUGGUUCAGCCAGUCAUUAUUAACACUAAGUAGGUGUGAAUUUAAUGUUGUUUAUUUACUGAAAUAAGACAUUCAUUGAAUCAUUAUUUGUUAUUAUUCAUUUAUUUAUUUAUUUAUUUAUUUAUUAUUAUUGGUUUGCUUUAUUUUUAUUUUUCCUUCAGAUAUGAAAUUGGAAUUUGAAAGAAGACUCGGUAUCAGUUUAUCUGCACAAUAGACGUAGGCUACACAACUAGUUGGGCUACAUGUUCUACCUUUUAACCUGACAAAACAACAAUUGUUUUGAGAAAUAACUAGUUUGCUUAAAAACAAAAAGGAAUCGGAAUGUUUACAGUACGUGAAUUCUGUCCAGUAUUUUGCAUUACCUACAUUGGUCGCCACUUUAUGUUGUUUCUUAGGCUGGGAUAGUCUGUUGGAUGAAUUAGGUUUCUGAAAGACCUGGUCUUUAGGAGACAUCAUUCAAUGGAUCAACUCAAGGUUAAAAAGCCCAGGUAAAUGAUCAUGAUCAAACUCCCUUAAAGUAGUUUUAAAAAACUUUGUUAGUCUUUAGUAUUAUGUAACAAAAAUAAAGCUAAAAUGUUUUAUAUCUCUCAAUUGCACCUAUUUCAUUGUGCAGCACUUGGUUCUGAAUGACAGGAAGAUCCACUGAAUUAUUGUUGUAAUGUCUCUGUUUCACUGCAGCUCUGAGCAGCAAGGGAGAUCAGCAUCUCCAUGUCCUAGCCAUGCGUCCAUGAGGAGUGAUCAGUCCAUGGGUCAUCCAGAGGAUUUAAAAGAAUCGAGGUCGGAGCAGCAAGGGAGAUCAGCAUCUCCAUGUCCUAGACAUGCGUCCAUGAGGAGUGAUCAGUCCAUGGGUCAUCCAGAUGAUUUAAAAGAAUCCAGGUACAUUAAUUCCAAUUAGGUUUUCCUCACUAUCACUUUUCAGUUUUUAGU